rnacentral:rRNA from 1 species
GAUGAACGCUGGCGGCGUGCCUAAUACAUGCAAGUCGAGCGAACGGACGAGAAGCUUGCUUCUCUGAUGUUAGCGGCGGACGGGUGAGUAACACGUGGAUAACCUACCUAUAAGAUUGGGAUAACUUCGGGAAACCGGAGCUAAUACCGGAUAAUAUUUUGAACCGCAUGGUUCAAAAGUGAAAGACGGUCUUGCUGUCACUUAUAGAUGGAUCUGCGCUGCAUUAGCUAGUUGGUAAGGUAACGGCUUACCAAGGCAACGAUGCAUAGCCGACCUGAGAGGGUGAUCGGCCACACUGGAACUGAGACACGGUCCAGACUCCUACGGGAGGCAGCAGUAGGGAAUCUUCCGCAAAGGGCGAAAGCCUGACGGAGCAACGCCGCGUGAGUGAUGAAGGUCUUCGGAUCGUAAAACUCUGUUAUUAGGGAAGAACAUAUGUGUAAGUAACUGUGCACAUCUUGACGGUACCUAAUCAGAAAGCCACGGCUAACUACGUG